rnacentral:rRNA from 1 species
UGAAACUGGUAUUCUUGAGGGCAGGAGAGGUCAGUAGAAUUCCUGGUGUAGCGGUGGAAUGCGUAGAAAUCAGGAGGAAUACCAGUGGCGAAGGCGGCUUUCUGGACUGCCCCUGACGCUG